rnacentral:rRNA from 1 species
GAUGAACGCUGGCGGCGUGCCUAAUACAUGCAAGUCGAGCGAACAGAUGAGGAGCUUGCUCCUCUGACGUUAGCGGCGGACGGGUGAGUAACACGUGGAUAACCUACCUAUAAGACUGGGAUAACUUCGGGAAACCGGAGCUAAUACCGGAUAAUAUAUUGAACCGCAUGGUUCAAUAGUGAAAGACGGUUUUGCUGUCACUUAUAGAUGGAUCCGCGCCGCAUUAGCUAGUUGGUAAGGUAACGGCUUACCAAGGCAACGAUGCGUAGCCGACCUGAGAGGAUGAUCAGCCACACUGGAACUGAGACACGGUCCAGACUCCUACGGGAGGCAGCAGUAGGGAAUAUUCCGCAAUGGGCGAAAGCCUGACGGAGCAACGCCGCGUGAGUGAUGAAGGUCUUCGGAUCGUAAAGCUCUGUUAUUAGGGAAGAACAAAUGUGUAAGUAACUAUGCACGUCUUGACGGUACCUAAUCAGAAAGCCACGGCUAACUACGUG